GAGUUUGAUCAUGGCUCAGAGCGAACGCUGGCGGCAUGCUUAACACAUGCAAGUCGCACGGGCACUUCGGUGUCAGUGGCGGACGGGUGAGUAACGCGUAGGUAUCUAUCCUUGGGUGGGGGACAACUGUGGGAAACUACAGCUAAUACCGCAUGAUAACUGAGGUUUAAAGGCGCAAGUCGCCUGGGGAGGAGCCUGCGUACGAUUAGCUAGUUGGUGGGGUAAAGGCCUACCAAGGCUGCGAUCGUUAGCUGGUCUGAGAGGAUGAUCAGCCACAUUGGGACUGAGACACGGCCCAAACUCCUACGGGAGGCAGCAGUGGGGAAUAUUGGACAAUGGGCGAAAGCCUGAUCCAGCAAUGCCGCGUGUGUGAAGAAGGUCUUCGGAUUGUAAAGCACUUUCGACGGGGACGAUGAUGACGGUACCCGUAGAAGAAGCCCCGGCUAACUUCGUGCCAGCAGCCGCAGUAAC
rnacentral:rRNA from 1 species